GAGUUCCAGAGCCUCAAAGAGCACCCAGCAUAACUGUGGGAGAAUAGUAAGCAUUGGACACAAAAUGGAAAAGCUGACCUUCUGGUACGGAAGAGCAUGAGCAGUGAGUGAGCAGUGCCCAUGCGUUGUGAGGCGGCCUCCAUGGUAUAAGUUGAAAACAUUCAAGUACGGAAUAAACUAUUACUGCGAAUACGCUCAUAUGACACAAGAACAAUCUCUGAGCUUCUUUGAGGAUGUCCAGAUGACUGCUGACUGCACUAAUUGCAUCAAUCGUGUAUCCAUACAGGUUCUUUCUAUAAAAUAGUGGUCGCUAGUUAUGAGGCGUUAAGCCUUCAUGGAUAUAAACAGACUAUUCCACCUAAGUGAUCUGGCAGAAGCUUAGUUUUCUACCACAACAUCCACCGUCCUCCCUCCCUCCCUUCCUAGCUGGUCAGAAAAGCUACUCAGAAUAAAGACUACAUUUCCCAGCCAUCUUUGCAGCUAGGUUUAUCCACCUGACUAAAUUCCACCGGCCUGCCACAAGAAUACGAAGGCCAGAGCUCCAGCAGCUGUUGGAGCCACGAUGUGACCCUGAAGGCAGGAAACUCAGCUUUGGAAGUAACUCCAGGUUGAAGAACUUCUACUUAUAGGCAUCUAUUCAACGAAGACGAAUCCUGGAAUGGGGAUGGAAAUGAUGGCUCAUGUCUUAGCAAACUACCAAACUGAUCCGAGAGGACAGGGAAGUCAGUGUGGGCGGCUCUAAGGAGCCUCCCUCUCUACAGCUGCGGCUCAGAGGAUUACGGCGCUUCAUCCACAAGGCAACAUUGCACAAGUAGCUUUUGAACAAAAGUCAUGGAUACUAUUAAUGAUAUGUUCCCACACACAUUUAGUGUCGUCUCAAAAUUCACGCUGUCAACUGUCUCUAGGAAUCAUUUCCAUCUGAGAACAGACCACACAAAGACACAGUGAAACUCAGUUUCUGCAGAAUUUGAUUUCAUUUGAGUUACUGGGGAACAAAGCAAUUAGACAAUGAAUAAUAGCUCAAGACAGGCUGAAGCUGAAGAUUUCUGCAAAAGAAUGAAGAGGAAACGUUUUGAUCCUGAGCAGAUGUUCUCCCUAGAUUGCUUCACCUGAGGUUGAUUGACUUUUGGAAACGAGAUUUGUUCCCAGUGCUUUGUGAGUCUCUUGUUGGAAGGACUGUCUUUAAAUUAAAGCAAUUAGAGUUACUUUAUAAGAUUUACCCAAAUAUAAGAGCUGAAGAGAAUAAUUCAAAUUGAUCAGAAGAAAAUACUCAAUUACUGACAAAUGUCAAUUACAUCAAUAGGAUUUCUCUAAUUAAUGAAAAUAUAUACUGGGAAAA
ensembl:lncRNA LINC02436 long intergenic non-protein coding RNA 2436